rnacentral:rRNA from 1 species
CUACGUGCCAGCAGCCGCGGUAAUACGGAAGGUCCGGGCGUUAUCCGGAUUUAUUGGGUUUAAAGGGAGCGUAGGCCGGAGAUUAAGUGUGUUGUGAAAUGUAGACGCUCAACGUCUGACUUGCAGCGCAUACUGGUUUCCUUGAGUACGCACAACGUUGGCGGAAUUCGUCGUGUAGCGGUGAAAUGCUUAGAUAUGACGAAGAACUCCGAUUGCGAAGGCAGCUGACGGGAGCGCAACUGACGCUUAAGCUCGAAGGUGCGGGUAUCGAACAGGAUUAGAUACCCUGGUAGUCCGCACAGUAAACGAUGGAUGCUCGCUGUUGGUACCUGGUAUCAGCGGCUAAGCGAAAGCAUUAAGCAUCCCACCUGGGGAGUACGCCGGCAACGGUGAAACUCAAAGGAAUUGACGGGGGCCCGCACAAGCGGAGGAACAUGUGGUUUAAUUCGAUGAUACGCGAGGAACCUUACCCGGGAUUGAA